GUGUUGUAUGAAAGGAGAGAAAGUUGUUACCACCUUGACAAGGAAACAAGAGGCUUUGGCCCACAAUAAAUGCACUUAAGGCACUCCUGUGUUUAAAGCUACCCCAACUAUGGCAUUUU
ensembl:snRNA